CCCUGCAUAGGGCUAAACCUAAACCCUGCCCUAGGGCUAAACCCUAAACCCUGCUCUAGGGUUAAACCCUAAACCCUGUCCUAGGGUUAAACCCUAAAUCCUGUCGAGGGUUAAACCCUAAACCCUGUCGAGGGUUAAACCCUAAACCCUGUCUUAGGGUUAAACCCUAAACCCUGUCGAGGGUUAAAUCCUAAACCCUGCAUAGGGCUAAACCCUAAACCCUGUCCAAGGGCUAAACCAUGCCUAGGGUUAAACCCUAAAUCCUGUAUGAGGGCUAAACCCUAAACCAUGCAUAGGGCUAAACCCUAAACCCUGCCCUAGUGCUAAACCCUAAACCCUGCCCUAGGGUUAAACCCUAAACCCUGACCUAGGACUAAACCCUAAACCCUGCCGAGGGUUAAGGUUAAACCCAAAACCCAAAACCCUAAACUCUGCCGAGGGUUAGGGUUAAACCCUAAACCCUAAACCCUAAACCCUGUCGAGGGUUAAUCCCUAAACCCUGUCUUAGGGUUAAACCCUAAACCCUGUCGAGGGUUAAACCCUAAAACCUGCAUAGGACUAAACCCUAAACCCUGCCCUAGGGCUAAAUCCCAAACCCUGCCGAGGGUUAGGGUUAAACCCUAAACCCUAUCAUGCCACUGGGCUAAACCCUAAACCAUGUCCUAGGGCUAAACCCUAAACCCUGCCCUAGGGCUAGGGUUAAACCCCAAACCCUAUCCUAGGGUUAAACCCUAAACCCUUUCCAAGGAUAGGGUUAAACCCUAAACCCUGUCCUAGGGUUAAACCCUAAACCCUGUCGAGGGUUAAACCCUAAACCCUGUCUUAAGGUUAAACUCUAAAUCCUGUCGAGGGUUAAAUCCGAAACCCUGGAAAGGGCUAAACCCUAAACCCUGUCUUAGGGCUAAACCCUGCCUAGGGUUAAACCCUAAACCCUGUAUGAGGGCUAAACCCUAAACCAUGCAUAGGGCUAAACCCUAAACCCUACCUUAGGGCUAAACCCUAAGCCCUGCCCUAGGGUUAAACCCUAAAUCCUGCUCUAGGGCUAAACCCUAAACCCUGCUGAGGGUUAAGGUUAAACCCAAAACCCUAAACCCUAAACUCUGCUGAGGGUUAGGGUUAAGCCCUAAACCCUAGGGUUAAACCCUAAACCCUGUCCUAUUGUUAAACCCUAAACCCUGUCGAGGGUUAAACCCUAAACCCUCUCUUAAGGUUAAACCCUAAACCCUGUCGAGGAUUAAACCCUAAACCCUGCAUAGGACUAAACCCUAAACCCUGUCCUAGGGAACCCUGCCGUAGAGUUAAACUCUAAACCCUGCCGAAGGUUAAACCCUAAACCCUGACCUAGGGCUAAACCCUAAACCCUGCC
rnacentral:lncRNA from 1 species